GAUGAAGAACGCAGCGAAAUGCGAUACUUGGUGUGAAUUGCAGAAUCCCGUGAACCAUCGAGUCUUUGAACGCAAGUUGCGCCCGAAGCCAUCAGGUUGAGGGCACGUCUGCCUGGGCGUCACAUAUCGUUGCCCAAUGCCUAUUGCAGUGCAAUAGGAAUUUCUAGGGCGAAUGAUGGCUUCCCGUGAGCGUUGUUGCCUCGCGGUUGGUUGAAAAUCGAGUCCUUGGUAGGGUGUGCCAUGGUAGAUGGUGGUCGAGUUAGAACGAUACCGAUCAUGUGCAUGCUCCCCAAAAUAUGGCCUCUAUGACCCACACGCGUCUUUUGAAGCUCAUGACGAGACCUCAGGUCAGGCGGGGCUACCCGCUGAAUUUAAGCAUAUCAAUAAGCGGAGGA
rnacentral:misc_RNA from 1 species